AACAUUGCCUCUAGAAAAUAUUAGAGGUACAUCCUGCCCGGUGACAUACGUGUUAAACGGCCGCGGUAACCUGACCGUGCUAAGGUAGCAUAAUAAUUUGCCUCUUAAUUGGUGGCUGGUAUGAACGGACACACGAGAGCCAAGCUGUCUCUUUUUCACAUUUAAAAACUAACCUUCAGGCGAAAAGGCCUGAAUAACUUUAUAGGACAAGAAGACCCUGUCAAGCUUUACUAGUUAUGUUUAUUUAUAAUAUUUUAAUAACUUCACUAACUCAUUUCUAGUUUAGUUGGGGCGACUGAGGACCAAAACUAGCGUCCUUCAAAUCCUCUAAGGGCAAUAACCCAUAUCAAAUGACCCUUAAAAAGAUCAAGAGAUAAGCUACUGCAGGGAUAACAGGCUAAUUUUUCCUAAGAGCCCAAAUCGAAGGAAAAGUUUGGCACCUCGAUGUUGGCUUAAGACACCCUUAAAGUGCAGCAGCUUUAUACGGUAGGUUUGU
rnacentral:rRNA from 1 species